AAGUCGUAACAAGGUUUCCGUAGGUGAACCUGCGGAAGGAUCAUUUCCAAAAAAACAAAGUUAUAAUACAAACCCAAAAAAGGGGGAGAGGAAGGUAACUUUCUCUUUCUUUUUUUAUGUGAAAAUGUGUCGGGGUCGUCAAACCUUUUUUUUUUACUCUCAAGAGUGAGUCCUUGUAAUUGAGGAUUUUCUCGAGAGAGUCGUGUGAUUAGCCCAUUAUGAUGAAUCCAAACAAACCAUAUGUCAUUUAGAGAAAAAACAAAAAAAAAAAUUAAACGACAACUUUUAACGGUGGAUCUCUUGGCUCGU
rnacentral:misc_RNA from 1 species